rfam:Nomascus leucogenys chromosome 21, whole genome shotgun sequence.
UUAAAAGCUUUAUUAAAAGCUACCUUUUGGAAAUAUUAAGUCCUUGU